ACUGAGCCAGUUGUACCAAGAGAUUGCCAACUCUUACUCAACCAACAACCCAUCUGAUGUGAGCAUUGUUCUAGAAAAACAUUCUGAUCAGCUCAAUAGAGACCAGAACAUGGGCCUAGGCAAACAAGUGGUGUCAUCACUUUAUCGAAAGAAUAUCCAGCGACUUACAAAAACCUUCCUCACGUUAUCUCUUAGUGACAUCGCAAGGAGAGUUCACCUACAUGCAUCGCAAGAGGCUGAGCAGUAUGUCAGA